CCACGGGCGGCUGCAGUGGGGAAUAUUGGACAAUGGGCGAAAGCCUGAUCCAGCCAUGCCGCGUGUGUGAAGAAGGCCUUCGGGUUGUAAAGCACUUUCAGUGGGGAAGAAAGCCUUGGGGCUAAUACCCUCGAGGAAGGACAUCACCCACAGAAGAAGCACCGGCUAACUCCGUGCCAGCAGCCGCGGUAAUACGGAGGGUGCGAGCGUUAAUCGGAAUUACUGGGCGUAAAGCGCGCGUAGGCGGUCUGAUAAGCCGGUUGUGAAAGCCCCGGGCUCAACCUGGGAACGGCAUCCGGAACUGUCAGGCUAGAGUGCAGGAGAGGAAGGUAGAAUUCCCGGUGUAGCGGUGAAAUGCGUAGAGAUCGGGAGGAAUACCAGUGGCGAAGGCGGCCUUCUGGACUGACACUGACGCUGAGGUGCGAAAGCGUGGGUAGCAAACAGGAUUAGAUACCCCUGUAGUC
rnacentral:rRNA from 1 species